UACGUAGGGGGCUAGCGUUGUCCGGAAUCAUUGGGCGUAAAGCGCGUGUAGGCGGCCCGGUAAGUCCGCUGUGAAAGUCGGGGGGCUCAACCCUCGAAUGCCGGUGGAUACUGUCGGGCUCGAGUGCGGAAGAGGCGAGUGGAAUUCCUGGUGUAGCGGUGAAAUGCGCAGAUAUCAGGAGGAACACCGAUUGCGAAGGCAGCUCGCUGGGACGUUACUGACGCUGAGACGCGAAAGCGUGGGGAGCAAACAGG
rnacentral:rRNA from 1 species